GAGUCUCUGUGCAGCGCUGUGAGUCAACCUCUGCGUCGUUGCCUGGGAAACUAUUGGUAGCGUAGCUCCGUGAAGGAAUGCGGCAUUGCGUAGUACGUUUGCGUAGCGAGCGGGAAAGAGUGAGCGGCAGGAAAGUGAUGGUGGAUACUAGCGGAGCAGAGGGAAAGACCACAGGUUCUGAAGCGGGACCAGGCUCGCUCUGUCCAAUGUCAUUCUGAGCCACGACUCUGAACACGUACUCUGCAUCGGGGAUGAGGCCGUAUCCUGUGAUGCGUGAGCCUCCGUCAUCCCGGGGCCGGGCCCAGGACAGAGACACAGAGGACUUGGACACGUCCAUGAUCUCUGGCCCUUCACCACCAGGGAAUUCUCUGUGACCCGGGCAUUCACUGUGUACCAGGCAGCCUUGGGGACUUCCCGCCUCUCUAUGAUGUAUCC